CGGGGGCUAUCUUCGCCUCACCCUGGCACCUCCUCUUGGGUGCCUUCCGGGGACUGGGGAACUGCGCGCGGGUGGCUGUCCAUCUUGUCUACCUGCCCAGCAGGUGCGGGGCCUGCAGCAGCUCACCCAGCCCCCUGUGCUGUGUCCGGUCCGGUGUCCCUUUCAUGUGGGGCCUGGCCCUCCCGGGGACAGCGCACUCCGUCCUCGAGCUGCCCCUCUGCAAUGGUCACAGGAAAGACACGCCAGCUCCCUCCUUCUCAGAGAGACCUGAGGCCCGUGGAGAGGCUGGCCUGGGGUCGCACAGAGCCUGGCUGGUGGGACCCACACUGGCCGAGGAGCCGGCCUGAGCCUCGGAAAGGGGAUGCUGAAGGGUCUUACAUUCUAGAAGGGAGGCAGAUAAACGUUCGAAUACAGAGGAAGAAAAAUAAAGCGGAUCGUGCUCCCUGCCAGCCCUGUUCCCAGGUAUCAAAGCUGGAGAGCCAUCAUGGCGACAGGCAGACAUCUCUACUCAAGCAGCUGGGGGACCGUUGUAGAAGAGAGUGGACCUCUGAGACGUGGUCCCUGCGAGGAGAAUUGGAUCUAUUGUGGGAGAGGGGUUCUAGGCGUGUUUAACGGUCACAGCUAUUCAGAGAUGAGAAGAGUCACCGUGAGAGGUGGUGAGCUGCUCAUCGCUGGCAGAGUCCAAGGGGAGCUAUGCUUGGAGUCAGAGUCUGGUGGCACACUGACCCUGGUGACAGAGCACAGGGGUCUUGGCUACUGGAGGGGGUGGGACUAGCUGACAUGGGGGUCUCCCAGAGCGGUCUCUGUGUUGCUGGGUGUGGAAGCACGUCGGUGCUGGAGAAAGGUGCGCGCUCCCGCAGACUUGGCCUUCGGGUGGUCUGGGCAAGACUGCAGAGUUGACUCCCAGCUCGGGGCUGGAAUGUGCCCCGGGCUGGACAAAUUUUGUCACUUGAUUGAUUUCUUCCCGGCCCUAGAGGCAAGUGAAGGGAAGAUUCUUGAUUUGAGGAGACCAAAUUAGGAACAGAUGUCUUUUCAAGCUAUUAAUAGGUGGCCGGGGAACAAGGGGCCUCAUUUUUAAAUGCGCCCACGGCGGGCCUGGUGCCGCUGCCCACUGGAAUGUUUUGCGUCGGGGUAUUUCAUAGUCUUGGUGGUGGAGAGUCGUUUCUGGGAGUCGCCAAGCCCCCGAUGCUCCCUCGGGUCCUGAGCCAGAGGGUCUAAAUUUCACCUCUUCUCCCAAACUGUUCCACUUCCUAGUAAGGCCCAGAACACCCAUGAUUCUGAUAAAUGGGUACAGCACAGAAGGAUUUUUCCAGAGGGGGCAGUGGGACACACAGGAUGUGCACUAAUUGGCCCAAGUCAUCUUUGUAUUCUUCCGCAUAGAAGUCCGGGGUCUGGCUUUCAGUCAAAUGAAUAUAAACCGUCGUGGAAGCUGUUAGUCGCGUUAUUCACAAUCACAAUUGUUGAAAAUUAAAAUUGUCGGUUGCUCUGUGUGUGUGCUUGCUUCUCUCAAUUGCAAUUUAAAAACUAAUACCACUUAGCUCAUUAAAAAUAAUACUGGUGAGGAAAAUGGCUUUUCU
ensembl:lncRNA